rnacentral:rRNA from 1 species
UACGAAGGGGGCUAGCGUUGUUCGGAUUUACUGGGCGUAAAGGGUGCGUAGGCGGGUCUUUAAGUCAGGGGUGAAAUCCUGGAGCUCAACUCCAGAACUGCCUUUGAUACUGAGGAUCUUGAGUUCGGGAGAGGUGAGUGGAACUGCGAGUGUAGAGGUGAAAUUCGUAGAUAUUCGCAAGAACACCAGUGGCGAAGGCGGCUCACUGGCCCGGUACUGACGCUGAGGUGCGAAAGCGUGGGGAGCAAACAGG